GCCGGGCAUGGUGGUGCGUGCCUGUAGUCCCAGCUACUCGGGAGGCUGAGGCAGAAGAAUCGCUUGAACCCAGGAGGUGGAGGUUGCAGUGAGCCGAGAUUGUGCCACUGCACUCCAGCCUGGGCAACAGAGUGAGACUCCGUCUCAA
rnacentral:SRP_RNA from 1 species